CCUUCAUGAAGCCGGAAUUGCUAGUAAUGGCAGGUCAGCAUACUGCCGUGAAUACGUUCCCGGGCCUUGUACACACCGCCCGUCACACCAUGAGAGUUGGGAAUACCCGAAGCCUGUGAGCUAACGCAAGAGGCAGCAGUCGAAGGUAGAAUCAAUGAUUGGGGUGAAGUCGUAACAAGGUAUC
rnacentral:rRNA from 1 species